rnacentral:misc_RNA from 1 species
CGGGUGAUGGCAAUAGAUAAGACAAAUAAUAAGUGGGAUUCUCUGGCGUAUUGUUCUGCCAAGUCAUCUUACCAUACCCCCACAUCCUUUUGUCCUUUUUUUUUUUCCUUUCCACUUUUUCUUUUGGAAUUUGGAACUUUUUUUUUCUUUUUUUUUUUUUUCUAUACAUAACCAUUCACCAGAUUAACUUUUUUUUUUUUUUUUUAAAUAGAAAGACAACAAGAUAUGGUCUUCUUGCAAAAUUAAAUUAAUUUCCAAUCCCAUUCACUAUGCAGCGCGUGAACAUUUUCCCAAAACUCAAAUUGCCUGAACUCUCCCCAAUUCCAACAAAAACCAGGCAUUGUCCUUCCACUGCCCAGGUUUAGAAAACUUGACUCGGCUGACUCACUGAAACUCAGUUCAACUCUGGAUGAAUGUCCUUUAGCAAACCCAGAACUUGCUGCAUGGUUGGCCUCUUUCCAGGCAAUUCCGCCGUACAUAAGUAACCAACACGAAGACACUCGAUCAUCUCACUCAAUGAGUCACCGUCCACUGUUAAUCUCGAGUCAAGAGCGUCUGCACCACUCCCUUCUCUCACUAGUCUUCUCACCCAUCCAACACUCUCUUCGUUCCCUUGCUUACCCGUCAGUAACUCUAUCAACAAAACCCCGAAACAGUAUACGUCAAACUCAACCCCGCAAUCUUCGCUGUCUGCUCUGAUAUUUUUCUUUUUCGGACAGAUAUUUCUGAGGCCGAAAUCAGCUACUCUUGGCUCUAGGGUAUCAGAGAGGAGAAUGUUGGAUGCGACGAGGUGGCCGUGUACAGAGCCAGCAUGGUGGAGGUAAGCAAGCCCGCGAGCCACGCCGACGGCAAUUCGGUGGCGCGUGAGCCAAUUAGUUUUUUCUUCAGGAGAAGCGACGUGGGACCCAGAUAUAUUCUGAUGCUCCCAGGUGUCGGUGCUCCAGUCCUCCACAUUGGGUUCGAGGGUAGGAAGCUCAUGGAGCCAGCGGUGCAGAUCUCCGUUGGCCAUGAAUUCGUAUAGAACCAGCUUCUCUUUACCUGCAAUACAGUACCCACACAGGGGUAACAGGUUUGGGUGUUUCAGCCUCGAAAGAUCUUCAAAUAUGGCCACCGCUUCGUCAUGGUCGAUGUCUCUUGCGUUCUCUAAUACUUUGAUUGCCACAUGGACGUCUCCUGGUAGGACAGCUCGGUAAACGGGUCCACACCUGCCCUCUGAAAGUAGAGAUUCUUUACCGAAGUGUGAGGUGGCUGCUAUUAGGUCUUUGAAAGUCAGGUUCAUCAACGGCUUGGAGGACAUUAUCACUGAGGCUGAUGUUGGUUCUUUGAUGUCUGCCACCCAUGAUGUGCCCGACUCCGUUUCGAAACUGAACGGCCCUGAUUUCUCCAUCUUGAAAGGGAAUUGGACUACUGGUGUUGAGAUUGCCCAUUUGUUUCUGGUGGCAAUCUUUCUUCUCCUGUGCAUGCACAAGGCACAAAUAGCAAUAGAUACAAGCAGAAAUGCUGAUACCGAUGACACACAGAUGAUUAACGUUUUAGUCUUUGAUUUUGAUUUGGAUUUGAUUUUCCUGGCGGUGUUUUUGUUGAGUGAUGAGUGUUUUGGGAUGCUGUUGAUGUGAGGUGGGGUUUCUUUUGAUUGUGGCUUGAUGGGAUUGCUUGGGGUUUUUGAUGGGGUUUUGGAGGCAGUGAAAUUGAAACCACCUACGUGAAGAAAAGCAGAUUUUCCAAAUUUGUUGGUCUCGUCAGAGUGAACAAUUCCAGUGAAGUUAUUCAGUGAAACAUUCAAGAACUCGAGGCCAUCUAGUGAAGGAAAAUCAGAAGGAAAAGUACCACUCAUGUUGUUGUUUGAGACAUCUAAAGAUGUC